GACGAACGCUGGCGGCGUGCCUAAUACAUGCAAGUCGAACGCUGAAGGAGGAGCUUGCUCUUCUGGAUGAGUUGCGAACGGGUGAGUAACGCGUAGGUAACCUGCCUUGUAGCUGGGGAUAACUAUUGGAAACUAUAGCUAAUACCGCACAACAGUAGAUGUUGCAUGACAUUUACUUAAAAGUUUCAAUUGCAUCACUACCACAUGGACCUGAGUUGUAUUCGCUAGUUGGUGGGGUAACGGCUCACCUAGGCGACGAUACAUACCCGACCUGAGAGGGUGAGGUGCCAAGCUGGGACUGGGACAAGGCCCAGACGUCUAGGGGAGGGAGCCGGAGGGGAUCUUGGGCCAUGGACGGAAGGCUGAACGCGGAACGCCGCGGGAGUGAAGAAGGGUGUCGGGUCGGAAAGGUCGGUUGGAAGAGAAGAACGAGUGUGAGAGUGGAAAGUUGACACUGUGACGGUAUCGGAAAAAAAAGCGACGGCUAACUACGUG
rnacentral:rRNA from 1 species